GGCCUUGUGCAGUGGCAGUAUCAUAGCCAAUGAGGUUUAUCCGAGGUGUGAUAUUGCUAAUUGAAAACUUUUCCCCAUACCCUUCCAUGACGACUUGAAAUAUAGUCGGCACUGGCAACUUUUGACAGUCUCUGCAGAGA
ensembl:snRNA U4 U4 spliceosomal RNA